rnacentral:rRNA from 1 species
AUUGAACGCUGGCGGUAUGCUUAACACAUGCAAGUCGAACGGUAGCAGGCCUCCGGGCGCUGACGAGUGGCGGACGGGUGAGUAAUGCAUAGGAAUCUGCCUAUUAGUGGGGGGACAACGUGGGGAAACUCACGCUAAUACCGCAUACGCCCUACGGGGGGAAAGCGGGGGGAUCGUAAGACCUCGCGCUAUGAGAUGAGCCUGCGUUAGAUUAGCUAGUUGGUAGGGUAAAGGCCUACCAAGGCGACGAUCUAUAGCUGGUCUGAGAGGACGAUCAGCCACACUGGGACUGAGACACGGCCCAGACUCCUACGGGUGGCAG